rnacentral:lncRNA from 10 species
CAAGUUGGAGUCUUUUUCUUUGGGAUGGGAAGACAUACAAGAAAGCAACCAGUUACUGGAUUAUAUGAGGAAGGCUGUGACAGAGGCCAUACCGGAUGCUGCAGGAACACAGAAAAAGAAGGAUCUACGCCCUUUGAUGAAUUCCCAGGAAGCCUUCCCAGAUGUGUCAGUGGGCUCUUGAAGGGUGCUCAUCUACUGGAAAGGCUUCAACUUUCACCUUUGCUGAUGACGUUCCAGUCCCAGUCUGCCCAAUCUGAAUUCUUCCUCAGCCUCUGCUUAGCUUCCUAUCCUCCGUUCCUUCUCCUAUGAUCUAGGCAGACAUUGAGGAUUAUGCCUGGCACAUUUUCUCAGAGGGCCAAGGCACAGCCUUAAUUUUCUACUCAACUGGGAGCUCUAGGCACCCAUUACCAUUCAGAGUUGGCAUUCGAGACAAAAACUAUUUUUUUCCUGAAUCUAGUCCUUUUAAUUUUAAGCACCUUAAGGAAUAUACCUUUUAAAGUGUCUUGAAGGAUUUCAUUCCCCCAUUCAUUCAGCAAACUGUAAAGAGCUUCCCAUGUGCUGCCUGUUGAAUGCAACAUCCUCCCUCUCAAACCCUCUCCUGCUCAACAGGUCCCCUGCUAUCAAUGAUACCAGCAAUAGCACUGAAAGAAUAAAUAUACACCAGAUAACACAGGUGAGUGGGCACAGCUCUCCAUGCCACCCUAGUUCCUCACAAAGGCAUGCCCAAUAUUUGGAGGUACUGACAGCCUUAGAGGAAGGAGAAAUCCACCAGGUCAGAAAAAUUCUGAGCUGUAGGCUUGCUGCCUUUCUUACCUACAUUUGAGGAAAGGCCAGGUUAGCAUCCAAGAGUCCACCCUAUCACCAUAUAAAGAAUUCCAUGCCAGACACAUAUACUUCUAUUUCCUAAUGCUGGUCCUGGGUCUACAGUGGUCUUAUUAUAAUCAGUAGACCAUUCUAGUUCAAGCCCUUAUCCCCUCCUAUAUGGAUAACUGUAACAGACUCUCCUCUCCAGUUCAUCCUAUAAAUGCCAUAGCCAAACUCUACCCCAAUUUUAACUCCUAGUAAUUACUGAUUUGUUCUAUAGGUUGGUGCAACAGUAAUUGCGGUUUUCACCAUUAAAAGUAAUGGCGAAAGUAAUGCUUAGCCUCCUAUUUGGCGAAACUGUAAUGGUGAAAACUGUAAUUACUGUUGCAUCAACCUAAUACAACACUGCAAUUUUGUUUUUUAAGAAUUUCAAAUAGGCCAGGCACGGUGGCUCACACCUGUAAUCCCAGCACUUUGGAAGGCCGAGGCGGGUGGAUCACCAGGUCAGGAGUUCAAGACCAGCCUGACCAACAUGGUGAAACCCCAUCUCUACUAAAAAUACAAAAAUAAGUUGGGUGUAGUGGCGUGCGCCUGUAGUCCCAGCUACUCAGGAGGCUGAGGCAGGAGAAUAGCUUGAACCUGGGAGGCGGAGGUUGCAGUGAACUAAGAUCGCACUGCACUCCAGCCUGAGCGACAGAGCAAGACUCCAUCUCAAAAAAAAAAAAAAA